rnacentral:lncRNA from 1 species
UGUAUAUAUAAGUUGUAUUUAUAUGAGACUGUAAUCUACCAAGGGUACAGUGGCAUUAUGCCCCCCCCAUCCAUGCACCUUAAUUCAAACUAGCUCCCGGCCAAAAAAUGAGGGGCCAAACAAAUACAAUCAUAACUUCAAAGAUUGUGGAUCACAGAUCCCCAAAACAUAUAGUAAUGAUGGUGAAGCUUGAAAUACUGCAAGACCUGCCAGCAUGUCAAGGGAGCAAAUACUUUUGGAAAAAUGGUGCCAGUAGACUUUGAAGUCCCUUUCGAAUUGCUAUGUCCCCUCAGACUCCACUGUCAUGUGGUACGUAGUUUGGCCUCUGAUGCUUUCAGAAUGGCCUUUAUAUGUGCACCUACCAUGUGCCAACUUUCAUGCCAGGCAGGUUUUACACUCUGCACCUCCUUUUCAUUUAAUCUGUUCCAGAGAUCUGUAGUCAUUGUGAAGUGAUCUCACUUUAGAGACAUUUAACUGAUGAGAGCGCUGAAACUCAGAGAGGUUAAGUAAUUUGCCUAAGGUCACACACACAGCCCCUAUGUGGAAGAGUCCUUUUUGAAUCUAGGUCUGUCUGACUUCAAAAGUAGUGGGGUUUUUUAAAACUAAAUUUUACAACUGAAAAGGGCAACUCUAACUAGACCUUCCUUAUUAGUAGCAAGGGAUUUUAUUUUAUAAGAAUUUCUCUAUGUGUAGGAUUGCUGUGUCAGGGCUUAUCCAGGCAUAGCCUGUUCAGAGGGGUUUUGAUGGUGGGGUUUAUGGACCUAGGACCCUUGCUAUGUGCUCACGACACUCCAUGGUUCUGGUAAGCACUCCGGCAGAGGGUCUUCUGCUCCUGGAACUGUGCUUUUUAUUUUAUUUUAUUUAUUUAUUUAUUUUGUCUUUUUGCCUCUUCUUGAGCCUCUCCCAUGGCAUAUGGAGCUUCCCAGGCUGGUGGCUACAGCUCCGAUUGGACCCCUAGCCUGGGAACCUCCAUAUGUCGCGGGAGUGGCCCUAGAAAAGACAAAAAGACAAAAACAAACAAACAAAUUAAUAAAUAAUUCAAUAGGGCAGGGGAGGGGGGGUCGUCAGGAGCAAGGCCAGGUUGGCUGGCCUGUCUUAAUCAUUAGCUAUACUGGCUGGCAGAGUGAGGGAGGUCCAUGAUGCUUGGAGUUUAUAGGUAUGCCAUCUUGAAAUUCUUAAUAAUUUUAUCUUCGAAUUUGUGAAGACCUGCCUCGGUCACCUUCUCGCCUCCCCAGAUGGGCUUCUGGCUUCCUCUUUCCCGGCCCUUGCCACACCCAGCAGCUGCCCUCUGCUCCUGGUGGGGACCUGGACCUGGGCUUAGGGAGGCGCAGGUCACGAGGCAGAGCCACGAGCAUCUGUGAGGGGCCGCGCUCACCCUGCAAGUACCCUCAGCCCGAGGACACACACUGACUAGCAAAUAAAUCACCCCACAGCAGAUCCAGACAGAGAUGGCAGAAUCAAGGAAAAAGCUUUUCUUCUUCCUCUUGAACAAAAGGCCUCGCAUUUUCACUUUGCACUGGGUGGGCCUUGCUCGUGAGGCCGCCAGCCCUGGGUCCAUAGAAGGUCGUGGGUGGAAAUGAAAUUGAAGCGUCUUUCCCCUUCGGAACAACCACAACACUAAAUGCUUAUUCUGGGAGUUCCCUUGUGGUGCAGUGGGUUAAGGAUCCAGCGUUAUCACUGCUGUGCCCUGGGUUCUAUUCCCUGGCUCAGGAACUUCCACUUGC